rnacentral:lncRNA from 1 species
CAGCAGCCGUGAGAGAGAUGCAGCAAAAAUAGUGAGAAGUGGGGAAUUUAGAGAGAGAGAAGAAUAGUUAAGUCAAUAAAAAAUUGAGUGGAAUAAGAUUUCAAGUGUCUGUCAAUCGGCACGGACCGUAUCCAUCGUGUCGUAUAGUGCAAAUAAAAUAUCGACAUGAUACAGACUCUAUACCGAUGGCACAGUUUAAAAAUUAUUAUAAUUUAUUAUUUAUUAUUGAUAUAAGAUAUAAAAGAUAUUUUUUGGUGGU